GUGCUCACUUCAGCAGCAUGUACACUAAAAUUGGAACAAUACAGAGAAGAUUAGCAUGACCCCUGCACAAGGUGACACAUUAAUGAUGUGACUGUAUUACUU
rfam:Otolemur garnettii contig160992, whole genome shotgun sequence.